rnacentral:lncRNA from 1 species
AUGAAAUUGUACAUGAACCUGAGAAAACAACCAGCUGAAACAUUUCCAAGGAAGACAGCAGCAAGGAUUUCCUGGGACUCCAGAGCCCGUAUCGCAAGUUUAACCACCAAAGGGCUCUCUCUCUGUUGGCCUCUAAACAGAGGAUGCUCCAGCUCUUGGAAUCUGUUCUCCCCUGACCCCACAGCUGUUUCUCUGGGACAAAGACCAGGUGAAAGAAGAAAAAGUAGACAAG